rnacentral:rRNA from 1 species
AGUGAACGCUGGCGGUAGGCCUAACACAUGCAAGUCGAACGGCAGCACAGUAAGAGCUUGCUCUUACGGGUGGCGAGUGGCGGACGGGUGAGGAAUACAUCGGAAUCUACUUUUUCGUGGGGGAUAACGUAGGGAAACUUACGCUAAUACCGCAUACGACCUACGGGUGAAAGCAGGGGAUCUUCGGACCUUGCGCGAUUGAAUGAGCCGAUGUCGGAUUAGCUAGUUGGCGGGGUAAAGGCCCACCAAGGCGACGAUCCGUAGCUGGUCUGAGAGGAUGACCAGCCACACUGGAACUGAGACACGGUCCAGACUCCUACGGGAGGCAGCAGUGGGGAAUAUUGGACAAUGGGCGCAAGCCUGAUCCAGCCAUACCGCGUGGGUGAAGAAGGCCUUCGGGUUGUAAAGUCCUUUUGUUGGGAAAGAAAAGCAGCAGGUUAAUACCCUGCUGUUCUGACGGUACCCAAAGAAUAAGCACCGGCUAACUUCGUG